rfam:Daphnia magna strain Xinb3 scaffold00211, whole genome shotgun sequence.
AAAUCAGCCCUUUUUAGGGCUACCAAAAACUUCUUGCAAAGAGCUC